rnacentral:rRNA from 1 species
CGGGGGGAGCAAGCGUUGUUCGGAUUUACUGGGCGUAAAGGGCGCGUAGGCGGCCACCGCAAGUCGACUGUGAAAUCUCUGGGCUUAACCCAGAACGGUCAGCCGAUACUGCGGGGCUAGAGUGCAGAAGGGGCAACUGGAAUUCUCGGUGUAGCGGUGAAAUGCGUAGAUAUCGAGAGGAACACCUGCGGCGAAGGCGGGUUGCUGGGCUGACACUGACGCUGAGGCGCGAAAGCUAGGGGAGCGAGCGGGAUUAGAUACCCCGGUAGUCCUAGCCUUAAACGAUGAAUGCUUGGUGUCUGGGGUUUUAUAGUCCCCGGGUGCCGUCGCUAACGCUUUAAGCAUUCCGCCUGGGGAGUACGGUCGCAAGACUG